rnacentral:lncRNA from 1 species
AUGUAUCUCAACGCCAUCAAUAGAUUCAAGUCAUGGCCAAGGAGAUCGAAGUAAUUCGAGGGGCAACCAUAAGGUGCCGAUUUUGCACCGUGGUGAGAAAUCACAUUAACAAAUUUGGUACUAUGUAAAAAAAAAAAAAAAAACCAAAGUUUUUUUAGAUCCAAGAAUCGGAGCUUGGUACACUGAAAGCAUUCAAGAUGCGGCGGCUUUCAUUCUCCGUUACUGUGGAACACCGCCUAGAUUCUCCUCACCGCAUCGCCACCUUAAGUUUGAUUCCUC